GGGUCAGUAGGUUGGUCGUGCCACCGGUACGUACUGGUCACACUGAUUCCUCCUUCCUGAAGAACCGUAAUGCCAUUAAUUUGGUGUUGCGGGGAAACAGGACUAUUACUUUGAAAAAAUUAGAGUGUUUAAAGCAAGCUAACGCUUGAAUACAUUAGCAUGGAAUAAUGAAAUAGGACGAUCGAUCCUAUUUUGUUGGUUUCUAGGAUUGACGUA
rnacentral:rRNA from 1 species